rnacentral:misc_RNA from 1 species
GGAUUCCCCUGUACUGAUUCUUUCUUUUCCUUUUCGCUGACUGUUCGAAGGAUUCAUCAGAAUCUACCAGUUUGGCAGCAGUUGACCUUUCUCGGGGCGUUAGGGUUUUGGGGGCGAAGACGGAUUUGAAGCCGGCGAACUCCUCCACUUCGUCAUCGAAGUGCUCGUCGUUGAAUUGCUGGAAGUCGGCCUCGAAAUCCUCGUCGUCCGGAAUCUCCAGCAGCCUCUUCUUCUUCAACCCGAAGCCGACGCGCUUCCUCAGAUCCGGCCAUAGGUAGUCUGCGGUGACCCGCCGGGAUCUCACCGAGGUCACCGACGGCUCGUCGGAGAUCAGCGCUCCACCACACAUCCUUGCUCUUG